GUGGGGAAUAUUGGACAAUGGGCGAAAGCCUGAUCCAGCCAUGCCGCGUGAGUGAUGAAGGCCCUAGGGUUGUAAAGCUCUUUCACCGGUGAAGAUAAUGACGGUAACCGGAGAAGAAGCCCCGGCUAACUUCGUGCCAGCAGCCGCGGUAAUACGAAGGGGGCUAGCGUUGUUCGGAAUUACUGGGCGUAAAGCGCACGUAGGCGGACAUUUAAGUCAGGGGUGAAAUCCCGGGGCUCAACCUCGGAACUGCCUUUGAUACUGGGUGUCUCGAGUCCGGAAGAGGUGAGUGGAAUUCCGAGUGUAGAGGUGAAAUUCGUAGAUAUUCGGAGGAACACCAGUGGCGAAGGCGGCUCACUGGUCCGGUACUGACGCUGAGGUGCGAAAGCGUGGGGAGCAAACAGGAUUAGAAACCCGUGUAGUCC
rnacentral:rRNA from 1 species